GAAUCAUGGUCAAUAAAUAUCUAUGUAAUUGUCCCAUCAUCAUCAUCUCUCUCUCUCUCUCUCUCUCUCCAAAUCCUAACUCAGUGUAAAUGACUCGAGGAUAAACCGUGUUUUGUUGCCGGAUGGACCAGCGUAACUAGAGAUUCACCGCGGUCAAAAUGACGUCAUGGGACGACGGAAAACACAGGAAGGUGAAGAAAGUGGUGAUUACGUAUGGUGACGUCAUCAACUCCGUCCAGUUUGAUUACGACGACAACGGCAGGACCCUCACGUCGCAGCAACAUGGCAGUGUCGGAUACGAGUCCAGAUGGUUCGAGCUGGACUCCAACGAGUACAUGACGAAUGUAUACGGUUCCUACACG